rnacentral:lncRNA from 1 species
CUCCGAGGACACAGCUCACGUGGACACUCAGUGCAGCCGGGCUCCGGACGCUGCGGUAGCCAGAGGCCACCUCGGCAUCUCUGGAGGCGUCCGCAGCCGUCCCCCCUCCCACCCGGGAGCCCGAGUCCCGGCCGGGCGCCCCAGGAGAGGGCCUGUCCAGAGCCCCCAGGACCGUCCAGGAGCAGGGGCCAGCGCAGUGCCAGAGGAGCAGCGACGGGGACGGACCGGAGCACCUGGGCCCAGGUAGACGCCAGCGCUCUCCCUACCUGGGAGCGGGGGUGGGACCACGCGGCCCGAGCUUGGCCCCGGCGCUGCCACGUUCCAGGAAGGAGGCCGGCACCGCCGCCUCCCCCGCCCCGGGCCUGGCUUCUGUUCCCUGAUCCUCAGGGGCCCGAGCUGUGGCUUAACCCACUUCCCCGCUCACCGCGCCGCUCGCGCCUGCUUCGCGGAUGGGCUUGGCUUGUGGCUUGUGCCAACGUUCCGCCGCGUUCGUGGUUAAACCAAGGGAAUGAACCCUCGCGGACCCACUGCCCGACCCAAGAACUCAAACCUCACGCCGUCCCUGUUGCCCCUGGAGGCAGCCCCUUCUUCAGUUUGCUUUAAAAAUAAAAGGUCGAUCACGCCCAUGUCAGCCUAAA